rnacentral:rRNA from 1 species
UACGGAGGGGGCUAGCGUUGUUCGGAAUUACUGGGCGUAAAGCGCGCGUAGGCGGAUCUGCAAGUCGGGGGUGAAAUCCCGAGGCUCAACCUCGGAACUGCCUUCGAUACUGCGGGUCUCGAGUCCGGGAGAGGUGAGUGGAAUUCCUAGUGUAGAGGUGAAAUUCGUAGAUAUUAGGAAGAACACCAGUGGCGAAGGCGGC